CAGUCGCCACGGUAAUACGAAGGGUGCAAGCGUUAAUCGGAAUUACUGGGCGUAAAGCGUGCGUAGGCGGUGAGUUAAGUCUGCUGUGAAAUCCCCGGGCUCAACCUGGGAAUGGCAGUGGAUACUGGCUCGCUAGAGUGUGUCAGAGGAUGGUGGAAUUCCCGGUGUAGCGGUGAAAUGUGUAGAGAUCGGGAGGAACAUCAGUGGCGAAGGCGGCCAUCUGGGACAACACUGACGCUGAGGCACGAAAGCGUGGGGAGCAAACAGGAUUAGAUACCCGUGUAGUCCCUGUCUCUUAUAA
rnacentral:rRNA from 1 species